rnacentral:rRNA from 1 species
GACGAACGCUGGCGGCGUGCUUUACACAUGCAAGUCGGACGGUGAAGGUGGAGCUUGCUCCGCCGGAUCAGUGGCGAACGGGUGAGUAACACGUGGGCAACCUGCCCCUAACUUUGGGAUAACUACUCGAAAGAGUAGCUAAUACCGGAUAUGAAGUCUGUAGGCAUCUAUGGAUUUGGAAAGUUUUUCGGUUAGGGAUGGGCCCGCGGCCUAUCAGCUUGUUGGUGAGGUAGUGGCUCACCAAGGCGACGACGGGUAGCCGGCCUGGGAGGGCGACCGGGCACACUGGGACUGGGACACGGCCCAGACUCCUACGGGAGGCAGCAGUGGGGAAUAUUGCGCAAUGGGCGAAAGCCUGACGCAGCAACGCCGCGUGCGGGAUGAAGGCCUUCGGGUUGUAAACCGCUUUCAGCAGGGAAGAAGCGAAAGUGACGGUACCUGCAGAAGAAGCACCGGCUAACUACGUGCCAGCCGCCGCCGUAA